GACGAACGCUGGCGGCGUGCUUAACACAUACAAGUCGAACGGAAAGGCCCUGCUUUUGUGGGGUGCUCGAGUGGCGAACGGGUGAGUAACACGUGAGUAACCUGCCCUUGACUUUGGGAUAACUUCAGGAAACUGGGGCUAAUACCGGAUAGGAGCUCCUGCUGCAUGGUGGGGGUUGGAAAGUUUCGGCGGUUGGGGAUGGACUCGCGGCUUAUCAGCUUGUUGGUGGGGUAGUGGCUUACCAAGGCUUUGACGGGUAGCCGGCCUGAGAGGGUGACCGGCCACAUUGGGACUGAGAUACGGCCCAGACUCCUACGGGAGGCAGCAGUGGGGAAUAUUGCACAAUGGGCGGAAGCCUGAUGCAGCAACGCCGCGUGCGGGAUGAUGGCCUUCGGGUUGUAAACCGCUUUCGCCUGUGACGAAGCGUGAGUGACGGUAAUGGGUAAAGAAGCACCGGCUAACUACGUG
rnacentral:rRNA from 1 species